rnacentral:rRNA from 1 species
AAGCAGGCAGAUUUACCUUCUGCCACCGAAUACAUUAGCAUGGGAUAAUGGAAUAGGACCCUGUCCUCCUAUUUUACGUGUUGGUUUUCGAGGACCAGGGUAAUGAUUAAUAGGGAUAGUUGGGGGCAUUAAUAUUUAAUUGUCAUAGGUGAAAUUCUUGGAUUUAUGAAAGAUUAACUUCUGCGAAAGCAUCUGCCAAGGAUGUUUUCAUUAAUCAAGAACGAAAGUUAGGGGAUCGAAGACGAUCAGAUACCGUCGUAGUCUUAACCAUAAACGAUGCCGACCAGCGAUUAGGAGACGUUGAAUACAAAACACCACCAUCAGGCGGGCAUCCUUGGCUGUCGUUGCGUGUAGCCAAAACACUGGGGGGCGGGGGGGGGGGCCCGUUUCCCUGAUGGCCCGGGAAUUGCCUCCCCUACCAGUUGGGGAAA